GACUAAGAAAACUUCAACUUUCAACAAAAAAUUUAGGAAGUCCUGUCCAUUCCAUUGCAGUGCGCCUGGUCUGAGACAGCGUAGGCAAGUCGGGCGAAUCAGGAUAGCAUUGACACAGUGCACCAUUCAGGGACCAUAACAAUGGAGAAAUAUGAUCCAGGGUUUGCUGGUCCAGGAGAGGCUCCCUGCCUGAACCCAAUUUUAAUAUAUGUCUAAUUUGGUCUAAAAAAGGAUUCAGUACCUCGGGAAACAUGAAAUGACAAGUUGUAAAAGAGAUUGUGUGUAUAAAUAAAGUUGCAUUUCUUUA